AUUAAAUUAACCUAACAUGGUAUUUGCAUAAAUCACAAUUGCAGAGUUUUGAGUAGUUUUGUAAUUUGACAUUUAGGAACGUAUCCUAUUUAUUCCCAUGCUUUGGAUUCAUGCUUAGUAUACACUAGAGGAUGCUAGCUUUACUCUUUUCUGUCAUUUAAAGCAAUAUGAUAAGUGCAUUCAAUAAUUGGGUGCCCUAAAUUUCUGGAUGAGAAAAUGUUCUAUUUAUGGCCAUGAGAAAAAUAACUAACCAGCCUUUGUUAUUUUUCCUUUGUUUUAAAACUAUUUUUUUAAAAAGCAAUAAUUAAAUUAGAUCUCAU
rnacentral:lncRNA from 1 species